ACCUUCGGGCAGCCGGCACCAGUAAACGCAGCAGCGGCGGCAGCAGCAGUUAACGCUGAUGCAACUAUUGCUGCUGUUGCUACCGCCUUCCCACUAACGGGGCUUGCAGCCCGGGGGGACUGGCCGCUUCCAGGGGCAACAAGCAUCUCUCUACCACCCUCCCCUGCGCCCCAGAGAGAGGCUGGUACUGUGAGGCUGGAGCCACCUUCUGUUGGAAGCUGCUACAAUCUUGUGGGAUCAAAGGAGCGUGUCUGAGUUCUGGCUCUAGUGGCUCAUUGAGAGCACGAAGGACCAACAGAUCCUUCAUCUGUCAGGAAGUACCUGGGGAGUCCUGAGAUCUGUUGAGACGGGAAAGUACAGAGCCACAGGCUUAAGACAGUUCAAUAAGCCGGGGCAGAGAUGAUGUUCCAUUAUAAAUAUAAAAAGGAAAGCCAAAGGUAUGGGGGCCAGAAGAAAAGGCCGCUCACUUCUACAUGUAGAGAGGGAAGUGCAUCCAAGAAGAUGUGGAAAAUUUGGGAGAAGGGGAAGGAAAAAAUGAACGAUAAUUUUGUUACCUUAAGCCCUAUCAAGUAUGACUUAUAUUAUUCUCAUGUGAAAGAUGAGGAAACAGGGCCCAGUGAGUGAAGUUACUUAACUAAGUCCCCAUGGUUGAUACAGAAGACUGUCAUAUGAACCAGUGAGAGUAACUGAAAUCAAAAAAAAGGCUCCAGCAUCUCGGUAAAAACAUGCCACAAGGGACGAGAAGGAGAAGUUUCAACCAGCAGGCCAAGAGACCAGAGACAAGCCGUGUGUGGACAAGCCUCUGCUUUAGGCCCAGAAGGAAAAGAAAUUCAUAGGAGACAAUGAGUCUCAGACUCUUUCUUGGUUAUGAGCAAGAGUUCCCUGGAUCUAAGAGG